rnacentral:rRNA from 1 species
GGGUUGUGAGGUUAAGCGACUAAGCGUACACGGUGGAUGCCCUGGCAGUCAGAGGCGAUGAAGGACGUGCUAAUCUGCGAUAAGCGUCGGUAAGGUGAUAUGAACCGUUAUAACCGGCGAUUUCCGAAUGGGGAAACCCAGUGUGAUUCGUCACACUAUCAUUAACUGAAUCCAUAGGUUAAUGAGGCGAACCGGGGGAACUGAAACAUCUAAGUACCCCGAGGAAAAGAAAUCAACCGAGAUUCCCCCAGUAGCGGCGAGCGAACGGGGAGCAGCCCAGAGCCUGAAUCAGUGUGUGUGUUAGUGGAAGCGUCUGGAAAGGCGUGCGAUACAGGGUGACAGCCCCGUACACAAAAAUGCACAUGCUGUGAGCUCGAUGAGUAGGGCGGGACACGUGGUAUCCUGUCUGAAUAUGGGGGGACCAUCCUCCAAGGCUAAAUACUCCUGACUGACCGAUAGUGAACCAGUACCGUGAGGGAAAGGCGAAAAGAACCCCGGCGAGGGGAGUGAAAAAGAACCUGAAACCGUGUACGUACAAGCAGUGGGAGCACGCUUAGGCGUGUGACUGCGUACCUUUUGUAUAAUGGGUCAGCGACUUAUAUUCUGUAGCAAGGUUAACCGAAUAGGGGAGCCGAAGGGAAACCGAGUCUUAACUGGGCGUUAAGUUGCAGGGUAUAGACCCGAAACCCGGUGAUCUAGCCAUGGGCAGGUUGAAGGUUGGGUAACACUAACUGGAGGACCGAACCGACUAAUGUUGAAAAAUUAGCGGAUGACUUGUGGCUGGGGGUGAAAGGCCAAUCAAACCGGGAGAUAGCUGGUUCUCCCCGAAAGCUAUUUAGGUAGCGCCUCGUGAAUUCAUCUCCGGGGGUAGAGCACUGUUUCGGCAAGGGGGUCAUCCCGACUUACCAACCCGAUGCAAACUGCGAAUACCGGAGAAUGUUAUCACGGGAGACACACGGCGGGUGCUAACGUCCGUCGUGAAGAGGGAAACAACCCAGACCGCCAGCUAAGGUCCCAAAGUCAUGGUUAAGUGGGAAACGAUGUGGGAAGGCCCAGACAGCCAGGAUGUUGGCUUAGAAGCAGCCAUCAUUUAAAGAAAGCGUAAUAGCUCACUGGUCGAGUCGGCCUGCGCGGAAGAUGUAACGGGGCUAAACCAUGCACCGAAGCUGCGGCAGCGACGCUUAUGCGUUGUUGGGUAGGGGAGCGUUCUGUAAGCCUGCGAAGGUGUGCUGUGAGGCAUGCUGGAGGUAUCAGAAGUGCGAAUGCUGACAUAAGUAACGAUAAAGCGGGUGAAAAGCCCGCUCGCCGGAAGACCAAGGGUUCCUGUCCAACGUUAAUCGGGGCAGGGUGAGUCGACCCCUAAGGCGAGGCCGAAAGGCGUAGUCGAUGGGAAACAGGUUAAUAUUCCUGUACUUGGUGUUACUGCGAAGGGGGGACGGAGAAGGCUAUGUUGGCCGGGCGACGGUUGUCCCGGUUUAAGCGUGUAGGCUGGUUUUCCAGGCAAAUCCGGAAAAUCAAGGCUGAGGCGUGAUGACGAGGCACUACGGUGCUGAAGCAACAAAUGCCCUGCUUCCAGGAAAAGCCUCUAAGCAUCAGGUAACAUCAAAUCGUACCCCAAACCGACACAGGUGGUCAGGUAGAGAAUACCAAGGCGCUUGAGAGAACUCGGGUGAAGGAACUAGGCAAAAUGGUGCCGUAACUUCGGGAGAAGGCACGCUGAUAUGUAGGUGAAGUCCCUCGCGGAUGGAGCUGAAAUCAGUCGAAGAUACCAGCUGGCUGCAACUGUUUAUUAAAAACACAGCACUGUGCAAACACGAAAGUGGACGUAUACGGUGUGACGCCUGCCCGGUGCCGGAAGGUUAAUUGAUGGGGUCAGCGCAAGCGAAGCUCUUGAUCGAAGCCCCGGUAAACGGCGGCCGUAACUAUAACGGUCCUAAGGUAGCGAAAUUCCUUGUCGGGUAAGUUCCGACCUGCACGAAUGGCGUAAUGAUGGCCAGGCUGUCUCCACCCGAGACUCAGUGAAAUUGAACUCGCUGUGAAGAUGCAGUGUACCCGCGGCAAGACGGAAAGACCCCGUGAACCUUUACUAUAGCUUGACACUGAACAUUGAGCCUUGAUGUGUAGGAUAGGUGGGAGGCUUUGAAGUGUGGACGCCAGUCUGCAUGGAGCCGACCUUGAAAUACCACCCUUUAAUGUUUGAUGUUCUAACGUUGACCCGUGAUCCGGGUUGCGGACAGUGUCUGGUGGGUAGUUUGACUGGGGCGGUCUCCUCCUAAAGAGUAACGGAGGAGCACGAAGGUUGGCUAAUCCUGGUCGGACAUCAGGAGGUUAGUGCAAUGGCAUAAGCCAGCUUGACUGCGAGCGUGACGGCGCGAGCAGGUGCGAAAGCAGGUCAUAGUGAUCCGGUGGUUCUGAAUGGAAGGGCCAUCGCUCAACGGAUAAAAGGUACUCCGGGGAUAACAGGCUGAUACCGCCCAAGAGUUCAUAUCGACGGCGGUGUUUGGCACCUCGAUGUCGGCUCAUCACAUCCUGGGGCUGAAGUAGGUCCCAAGGGUAUGGCUGUUCGCCAUUUAAAGUGGUACGCGAGCUGGGUUUAGAACGUCGUGAGACAGUUCGGUCCCUAUCUGCCGUGGGCGCUGGAGAACUGAGGGGGGCUGCUCCUAGUACGAGAGGACCGGAGUGGACGCAUCACUGGUGUUCGGGUUGUCAUGCCAAUGGCACUGCCCGGUAGCUAAAUGCGGAAGAGAUAAGUGCUGAAAGCAUCUAAGCACGAAACUUGCCCCGAGAUGAGUUCUCCCUGACUCCUUGAGAGUCCUGAAGGAACGUUGAAGACGACGACGUUGAUAGGCCGGGUGUGUAAGCGCAGCGAUGCGUUGAGCUAACCGGUACUAAUGAACCGUGAGGCUUAACCUUACAACGCCGAAGGUGUUU